rnacentral:tRNA from 1 species
GGAUUAGCUCAGUAAAUCAGAGCCUGGUGCUAAUAACACCAAGGUUGUGGGUUCAAUCCCUGUAUAGGCCA